GGUCAAGCUACUAAGGGCGUACGGUGGAUGCCUUGGCGUUAACAGGCGAUGAAGGACGUGGUCAGCUGCGAUAAGCCUCGGGGAGCCGCUAGCAGGCUUUGAUCCGGGGAUUUCCGAAUGGGGAAACCCGGCGGGAUUAAUCUCCCGUCAUCCGUUACUGAAUCCAUAGGUAGCGGAAGCUAACCCGGUGAACUGAAACAUCUACGUAACCGGAGGAGAAGAAAUCAACCGAGAUUCCGCUAGUAGUGGCGAGCGAACGCGGAAUAGCCUAAACCGGAUGCAUGGCGACAUGCUCCGGGGUUGCGGGAUGCUGUCUGGGCCUAGCCCGGGAAGUUACAAAAGUGUUGUAUAGCAGAAGAGUCUGGAAAGGCUCACCGAAGAAGGUGAUAGUCCUGUAAGCGAAAUGCAACACACUUCCUGGACAGCACACCCAAGUACGACGGGACACGUGAAACCCUGUCGGAAUCCGGGGGGACCACCCUCCAAGGCUAAAUACUCGUUAACGACCGAUAGCGUACCAGUACCGUGAGGGAAAGGUGAAAAGCACCCCUGGCGGGGAGUGAAAUAGAACCUGAAACCGUAUGCCUACAAGCUGUGGGAGCACGAUGCAGGAGGGGCAACCUUCUUGCCGUGUGACCGCGUACCUUUUGCAUAAUGGGCCUAGGAGUUACUUUUAGUGGCAAGGUUAAGCCGUUAGGUGUAGCCGUAGCGAAAGCGAGUCGUCUGAAUAGGGCGCAUGAGUCGCUAUGAGUAGACCCGAAGCCGGGUGAGCUAGCCAUGACCAGGGUAAAGCUGGUGUAACA
rnacentral:rRNA from 1 species